UGUCCUGCGAGGCCUGCUGGGAGGGCUCGCUGUCCUGCUCCCAGACCGUGCCAGUGCCUGUGUUGGAGCGGGACAUGGUGGCCAGACUCAGGCGGUAUGCGGAGGUGGAGGUGCCCACGGUGCUCACAGACGUCUUCCCUUGAACAAAGCACAUAAAACCUCCUGCUGUGCAUAAGCAGCGGCUGCCAUCUUGUGGCAACAAGGGCGACUGUAACAGCAGACAUCCCCUCAUGGAAGGAAAGUGGUGAAAAAGCUUCAGUACCCUGCGAGCCCACUGGUAACAGUACAGAAAAUCAACAUAAGACCAAGAGGAGAAAGGAGGAGACAGAUCUGCUGCUGAACUACAAACAUACAUCCGUUUCUGCACAAGCAGCUCAAGAUUUACAGAGAUGUAGGAAUUUACCAGUGAUCACACUCUAUAGAAGAAAGCAAGGAGCAGGACUUAUGCCAGCCUAGUGGCAUGGAUUGGGCAGACAGCAAACCACAAGGGCACACAAUUUUGUGACCUCUGCUCCCCUCCGUGGCUUCUGCUACAACACAUUUGUCUUGCCCUGCACUCCAGUUUCAAAAGAAGGAGCACGUCUAUGAAAGACCUGACUCAAGAACCACGGCCCAGCUGAAACAAAGAGGAGAAACAACAACUUCUCCCAGUGGGAUUCUUUUCAGUCUCAGACCCAAAGGGCACUUAGCUGACACACUGUAAGUGACAGGAAACCAAAUUAAAAAAUAAUAAUAAUAACAAAAAAAAAGAUCAACAGAGAGCAGCGAAAGUGCAAA